AAGUUUGUAUGGGUAGAAUUGGGGCAGGUGGACGCGGUGGGGUUGUUUUGUCCUGUUGUGGUGCAGUCUACCUCAGUGUUUCUUAAGGAUACUUUUAAUACUGCGCACCUCCAAACCUGUUCCGAUGGUGUGGGCUGGACCCGGCGAGGGUCAGGGAAACCAAUUGAGCCCUCCCCGUGUGCCGUUGUUCUGACAUCUCAAAUCGCAGUGAUCUGAACUGCAGCAAUAGAGCACUGUCUGCACGGGGCCUGCGCUGGCUCUGGCUCUGCAGCUCGGCUGGUAUCUGUUGGCUCUGAGCACACGCAGCACUCCGGUCACCCAAUGCAGGGCUGUGUGUUGGGCUUUGCAGGCGCGCCGUGCAGCUCACGUCGUCGUCUCCGCACUGAGAGCAGCAGUGGUUGGACCCAAUGCUGCGCAUGGCAGCCCCACUGCUGUCCUUCCUGCAUUGCUCCUGGCCAGGAGCACCGCGGGGCGCCCAACGGAGGAUAUCCUCAGCCACAGUGCUCCACCCUGACAGAAACAAACAGCCCCAGCGGUUGCCACUUGUGGCUGUAAAAGAUGAUGCUCAGCUGCGGAAUUAGGAAGAGCAAAGUCACGUCAUCACAGAGCCCGGCUCUGGGUUUGGGAAAACCCUCUGCUCCCAGCUGCCACGUGAGGCCCUCCCCGCACGGUGCAGGGCGCUCCGGGCCUGCCUGCAGUGCUGGUGUCACAGCACAGAGCUGCGCCUAUUGGGGAGCAGCCACGGCCCUAUGGGAGCAGCAAGAGGUGCUGGAGCAGCCGCAGCAUUGCGGCUUUGAAGCCAGCCGAGCAGGAAGCCACAGCACUGCUUUGCUCUGCGCUGUCAGCGGGUGUUGUUGUGUGGGGCUGGAGAGGUCCCAGAAACAUUUGUGUUCCAUUCAGUGUCCGCCUCCUGAACGCCUCUUGCAAACCCGGUACUUCUCUUGCCGUACAGCGCAGCAUUGCAAAGCUCGUCUGCGAGGUUCAAAGCGCGUCGUGGCUGCUUGUAAAUACUGAUUGUGUUGUAAAAUAGAAGAGCUCAUCGUGUGAUAAUGCAAACCGUGUGCCAGCUCUGGGUUGGGAAACGUGGUAGGAAAUAGACCAAGCUGCAAGGAGGGUGUUCUGUGCUGCACGCGUAGGGAAGAGGCUGCUCAGUGGUUGCUUAAGGGUACUCGAAAUUUGUGGGUAGUAGAUCUCUUUCCUCCUAAAUUUGUAUUAUAGUAAUGGGGCACUUUGCUUAAUUUUAGUUUUGUUGCAUUUAAUGUUGGUAUCUCUUUGGAAAAAGUUGCUUACUGUGUUACUGACCGAAGUGUGAUGGAGGAGAAUAGCAAACAGGAGCAGGAAGGGGCUGUGGCAGUCACCCCCGAGCCCCCAUGGUAGGGGCAGCUGAGGGCCCAUCGCGUCCCCUUUGCCAUCGCUGUGAUGCAGAUCCGGACCCCGAGGUGCCCCGAGCCAUCACUGGCGGCAGCGAUACCCAAGAGUGGGCCUGGCACCUCGCAUGGAGUCAGGGAGGAGAAUGCCGUCGUGCCACAGCACCCCGCUGUGCGCCGGGAUAGGGGCUCCCGAAUGGGUUGGGAGGUGAAAUUCACAGCAGGAUUCGUUCAGCAUUUGCAUGAACUGAAUGAAUUUGGCCUUUUUCUCACCUUCUGCUUGGCUCUGCGGCUCCGCUCAGACGGACGCCUGCAGGGAUGGGACUCCUCAGUGCCAUUUGGGGGCUGCCGGUUUUACCAGAUCUGCUGCCAUUCAACGUGCAUUUCUUUUUGAAAUGGAAUUGCUUGUCCUCCUCAAAAGUAAGCACUUACUCCUGCAGGUUCAGCAAAAUAACUGCAGCACAAUGCAAGCGAUGGGGGACGGGUCGAGGAAUGACUUUUUAAAUAUUGUAUAAUAAAGUUAGUAUUAACU
ensembl:lncRNA